GAUGAACGCUGGCGGCGUGCCUAAUACAUGCAAGUCGAGCGAACAGACGAGGAGCUUGCUCCUCUGACGUUAGCGGCGGACGGGUGAGUAACACGUGGAUAACCUACCUAUAAGACUGGGAUAACUUCGGGAAACCGGAGCUAAUACCGGAUAAUAUAUUGAACCGCAUGGUUCAAUAGUGAAAGACGGUUUUGCUGUCACUUAUAGAUGGAUCCGCGCCGCAUUAGCUAGUUGGUAAGGUAACGGCUUACCAAGGCAACGAUGCGUAGCCGACCUGAGAGGGUGAUCGGCCACACUGGAACUGAGACACGGUCCAGACUCCUAAGGGAGGCAGCAGUAGGGAAUCUUCCGCAAUGGGCGAAAGCCUGACGGAGCAACGCCGCGUGAGUGAUGAAGGUCUUCGGAUCGUAAAACUCUGUUAUUAGGGAAGAACAAAUGUGUAAGUAACUAUGCACGUCUUGACGGUACCUAAUCAGAAAGCAACGGCUAACUACGUG
rnacentral:rRNA from 1 species